rnacentral:rRNA from 1 species
GGCUGCGGCCGAUCAGGCUGUUGGUGAGGUAAAUGGCUCACCAAAACCUUUGACCGGUACGGGCCAUGAGAGUGGUAGCCCGGAGAUGGACACUGAGACAAGGGUUCAGGCCCUAAGGGGCGCAGCAACCGAGAAACCUCCACAAUGCACUCACGUGCGAUGGGGCUAUCUCGAGUGCCACCUGAUGAAGGUGGCUUUUCCUUGGUCUUCAAAGCCUUGGGAAUAAGAGGGGGGCAAGACUGGUGUCAGCCGCCGCGGUAACACCAGCCCCUCGAGUGGUGGGGAUGAUUAUUUGGCCUAAAGCGUCCGUAGCCGGCCGUGAAAGUCUUCCGUUAAAUCCAGCGUCUCAAGCGUUGGACCGCGGGAGAUACUACAUGGCUAGAGAGUGGGAGAGGUCAGCGGUAUUCUGGGGGUAGGGGCGAAAUCCUUUGAUCCCCGGAGGACCACCAGUGGCGAAGGCUGCUGACUAGAACACGUCUGACGGUCAGGGACGAAAGCUGGGGUAGCGAACCGGAUUAGAUACCCGGGUAGUCCCAGCCGUAAACGAUGCAUGCUAGGUGUUGGGUUGGCCACGAGCCACCCCAGUGCCGCAGGGAAGCCGUUAAGCAUGCCGCCUGGGAAGUACGAUCGCAAGAUUGAAACUUAAAGGAAUUGGCGGGGGAGCACCACCAGGCGUGAAGCCUGCGGUUUAAUUGGAUUCAACGCCGGG